CGUGAGAGCUGAGAGCUGACGGUUGUCCCGUAAAUUGCCUAGAAGAUCGCGUUAAAUUCUUUGAAGAAUCCUGGAAAUUGCUUCUAGCAGCUGACGUCCGGAAAAAUCCCCGGUAGUUAUAUAGCAUUGAAGCAUCGAUCAGGUUUUUUUUUCUAUGGUGCACUUUUGAAGCAUCGUGCCCAGAGACAUCAAGAUCACCUUUACAAGAACUUGGAUGGCGAGCCCCAGCCCAGAGGACCGAGUGAACUGGUACACACUGACCCGACUGGUCACCAGCCGUGAAACAUAAAAAAAUAUUUCAAACACAUUGGAAAGACUAAACAAACUUUGAAAGAGCAUUUGACAGACAUCAAAAAAACUGGGUUAUUUUUAAAAAGCGCGCAAUUUUUGUUUAUUUGUACAAUGU